rnacentral:rRNA from 1 species
GAUGAACGCUGGCGGCGUGCCUAAUACAUGCAAGUCGAGCGAACAGACGAGGAUUUUGCUCCUCUGACGUUUGCGGCGGACGGGUGUGUAACACGUGGAUAACCUACCUAUAAUACUGUUAUAACUUCGUGAAACCGGUGCUAAUACCGUAUAAUAUAUUUAACCUCAUGGUUCAAUAGUUAUAGUCGGUUUUUCUUUCACUUAUUUAUUGUUACGCGCCGCAUUAGCUAGUUGGUAAUGUAACUGCUUACCAAGGCAACGAUGCGUAUCCGACCUGACAGGGUGAUCGGAGAAACUGGAACUGAGACAAGGAGCAGACAACUAGGGGAGGCAGCAGUAGGGAAUAGACCACAAUGGGAGAAAGCAUGAAGGAGCAAAAGCGCGAGAGUGAUGAAGAUGUAAGGAUCGUAAAACUGUGUUAUGAGGGAAGAAAAAAUGUGUAAGGAAAUAUGCACGAAUUGACGGUAACUAAUCAGAAAGCGACGGCUAACUACGUG